rnacentral:rRNA from 1 species
AAACCAGCACCUCAAGUGGUCAGGAGGAUUAUUGGGCCUAAAGCAUCCGUAGCCUGUUCUAUAAGUUUUCGGUUAAAUCCAUUAGCUCAACUAAUGGGCCGCCGAAAAUACUGUAGAACUAGGGAGUGGGAGAGGUAGACGGUAUUCGGUAGGAAGGGGUAAAAUCCUUUGAUCUAUUGAGGACCACCUGUGGCGAAGGCGGUCUACCAGAACACGUUCGACGGUGAGGGAUGAAAGCUGGGGGAGCAAACCGGAUUAGAAACCCUGGUAGUCC